AUAAUCAGGGGAUUUGGGCAAGAGCUCCAUGAGAGGAAAAGGGGUCCUACUGCUUGGCAUCAGACUAAAGUGACUUGUGGAAGUUGGUUGACUGGCAGCUCGGAAGCUUCCUGGUGUAUGGGGUGAGAAGAUGGGGAUCUAGUUUAACGUUCUGCAUGCAGACACACUCUGUCUGUUGAAGAUGCUAUCAUCGUCCUGAAUUCUCUCAGGACAGAGAAACAGCCACAUGGAGGGCUUUCCUCAACAGCACAGGAAGGUGUUCAUGCCCAGCACUCAGGAACUCUGCAACUGUCAAGGACUCCCACCUUAUCCUCAGGCUUUUCUAGCAAAAUCUCUCCUCCCCUGCCUUUGGUGAAGUUGCUACCACAUGGGGUGUGCCCAUCUGCAGGAAAUGGAGGAAGGACCUCAGCCAGUAAUCAGCAAGUGUGUGACCGACAGCCUCGACCAAAAUCCCUCCAGAAUUCCAUGAGACAACCUGGAAAUGGGCUAUUCCCCAAUCAAGCCUUUCAAUACAGGCUUGUCAAAGACCCCCAAAGCAGAGAAUGCAGGGUUCAGAGACCGAGACAAUAAGUUAGGUUCUUAACCAAUAAAUUUAAGG